rnacentral:rRNA from 1 species
GACGUAGGGGGCAAGCGUUGUCCGGAAUCAUUGGGCGUAAAGAGCGUGUAGGCGGCUCGGUAAGUCCGCUGUGAAAGUCCAGGGCUCAACCCUGGAAUGCCGGUGGAUACUGUCGAGCUCGAGUCCGGAAGAGGCGAGUGGAAUUCCUGGUGUAGCGGUGAAAUGCGCAGAUAUCAGGAGGAACACCAAUGGCGAAGGCAGCUCGCUGGGACGGUACUGACGCUGAGACGCGAAAGCGUGGGGAGCAAACAGG